CUUCUACAGCUCCUUUUCAGUUAACGGAAAUGCUACAGAAUUUAUCUUCUAUGAAGUAUAUUGUUGUUUUUUCAAAACAAAGAAGGGAAAGUAAAUUAGUUCAUCGACUAAACUGUUAAUUUCCUCUAUAUAAAUUAAAUUGACAAUGUACAGCUAGCACAAUGCUAGUUUAGAAAUAAACAACAACGUGCAAAGACACAGUAUCCAUUCCUUUAUUAUGGACAGGAUCCAUAAGUUCAAACGUGCACGUUUCAAAUGCCAUUAAAACGUCUUCAUCGGAUGUGAUGGUUAUAAAAUCGCCAUCCUCAUCAACAUACUUCAGUCUAACCCGAAAAGGAACAGCUUGUUUCAAAAUCCCACAAAGCUUUAUUUUAUGUUCUACCUUGGCUAACAGCUCAUCAAAUGUUAUAUCAUGAGCAACAACCAGGACGAGACUAACCUCAUGUAAACGGAGACGAAUUUUAACAUUCGUGGUAUUUCGAACUGAUAGGGAGGUAGACGUGGAACUCGAGCUUAACGAAGUAUGUUUAGUAGAAGGGAGCAAACUACCAUCUGAUUUCAUACCCGCUGAAUAUGAAUAUUGACGAGGUCUCAUUACGUCGCAAUCAUUAGUAGUAGGUUGAUCAAAAAUUUUUUGUUUCGUUGAUGAAGAUGUAUCUUCAAAAAUGCUGACUGAAGACCCAUCAUCAGUACCUGAAUACACCCUAGUUAUAUGACUUUGACGAUUGUAGUUAUAGUCGUUCAAUAGCGAAUUGACCUGGCUGAUACGAGAGAUUUGGCUAGGAAUAGAUGCAGUCGAUGAAGAAUCGUUACUAACUAUAGUUGAUGUUGUUUGCGAAGUACGAAGGCUACUGGUACCCACUGAUUCUUCGCUGUUUAAACGAAUGAAAUCCGAUGGCCUUUCAUCAGUUGUGGUGGCAGACUUUGUAUCCUUAGAAGUAGUUUUCGUGAACGGACUAGAUUUGGAAGAGGGACUGGAAAUGCUUGUAGGAGAAUUAACAUUUUCGUCAAGAGAAUGUGUACGUAAAAGAUCAUAGUCGGAGGAGUUGUAACCCUUUGAAGUCUGAGAAGAAGAACGAUUGUAGACAGGGUUAGCAGGGGUCGAAGCAGCACUACGAAUAUCCUUUGGAGAUCCGUGCUCGUUUUUCCAUAAAAGUCGAUUAAGAACGGACAUCCAUAGUUUAUGACUUUCUUCAUUACGUAACUUAAGAAUAAAAGAUUCAUGUUGAGGAUCACCACGCCAAAAUAUUUGAAUAGCAUAUGAGCCCAUGUGAUGGUUGGGAACCACAGUAGUGAUGUUGGAUGUCAGAAUUCUUCCCUUCAGUUGAAGACUAUCAAGACGUUUAGUUUUCUUGUUCAUACUUAUACUUCGGGCUUGCCGUUUCAGAGUUGACAUUUCUUUACAACAUAACAAAAUUUUUUCAAAAAGGUAAACGUGAUACUCUCUUUCUAUAUCGGCUUUGCAUACAUUAACAACAUCCCAAACUAGCAGUUGUCCAAAGUAUUGAAGAGAGUAUCCUUUCCAAUCAAUCACACGUUGUUCAAGCUCAAUAAUGGCAUUUCGGUUUUCAUGAAUACGACGAGUCUCAUUAACUUGGUUUGCUACACGAACUACACAAGCCAUUCCUUGUUUUAGUUCCUCUUCGUACUGAUAACCUGAGGGAGUACCUUUUAGUAAUUGAUUCAAGAGAAGCGGAUAUUUACAUAUACGCUGUAUAGGCUUAAUCAGCAGAGCUGGUAAUUCAUAAGAGGGCUCAAGCAGGUUCGCAACUUUCAGUAACUGAUUUUGAUUAUCAAUGAUCAGUUGUUGAGCAUUCGGAAAAUUUGUACAAAACACUUGGUAAACAGAAAAUCCCUCUUCUAAGGCAAUGAAGAGUGCGCCUAGUCGUUGUUCUUCUACAGGAAGCGAAAGAUUCAUCUCUAAACCAACCAAAAAACGUCUUUGAAAGUCUAAAAUCUCGUUUAAAUUCGUAAAUAUACUGAGAAUAGUGUCCUGGGAUAGAAUUUGUUUUUGUUGAAGUAUGACCAUAUAGUUGGACAAAUAUUCUAAAUCUUGAAUGUAUUUUAAUUCGGUUUCAUAUAAUUCGGCAGUGACUCUACGGCCAGAUGCAAUCAAGCUGUUAAGAGUUCCUGUUGGUACAUUAUCAUCAGUAGAAGGACUAGGAGUAGAAGAUGAUUUUGUGGUAUUGGAAACUUCAUACUUUUUCAAUAAAAGUUCAAUGGUUUGAAGAGCUCUAACAAGUGGAGCUGUCGAGGGUUUAUAAAUUUCUGAUAUGGAAAAAAGGGCGGCGUCUGUGAGUCCAAGUUCAUUUUUACACAUGAGCAUGAAACGAUAUAAACUAGCUUUACACACGUUCGUAUUUUCCAAAGAAACCGAACUAUUAACUUCCAAUUUUUGCUUAACUGGCAAGCAAUUGAACAGGGCACACAAUGGAUAACCUAAACGACAAAACAGCCAAAUUUCCGUAACUGGAUCAUCAAAUUCAAUGUCCUUAAAUUCCAGUAUUUUGAAAGAGCUAUUCAAGGCUUCACGAUGAAUACUGUCAAAGAAAGCAGCCAACUCUGAUAUAUCCAUCAAUCGCUUCCGGAGAUUUAGACAUCGUCUGUAUAAUGAAACCGUAUUUUCUAAAUUAUAAAUAACUUGUGACGGAGACUGUAAAAGCCUAAGUUUCAUGUAUUCUGACAGAUUAGUCUCAUCUUUACGAGGACCUACAAGGUUUUGGGUGCUGUGAUUGAUGUAAGAAGGAAGAGACCUAGAGGAUGCUUUUAGAAGUUAGUUAGUUAAUUGCAUACACAUAAAUGGCGUUUUUGUGUUCUAAAUUUCUUUCAAUCGUUACAUACUUUUGCGAUCCUGAAAGUAGGCCAUAACUGAUAACUUCUUCUCGAGACUCCUUCCUAAUGCAGUAAAAUACAGAA
rnacentral:lncRNA from 1 species